CUUUAUAAAGCAGGAUAUAAGUGCCCAUGAAAAGAUUUGUGUAAGAGCCACUUAGGUAACCCUCCAACUCUUUUACUGCUGGUCCUAAAUGGACACUUGAAGAUUCUAAGUUUGUUUAUACUUAACUACCAGUUGUUUUCCUAAGUGGGCUCUAGAACUAGAAAAUACUCUUCGGACACAAGGACUCACCUAGAGUAAAAAGAAAAAAUGUCAGAACUCUGGAGUACAAGAAGGGAGAUGAAAUAAGAAUGUAUUACUGUUGUCACUAAUGAAAACAGGAAAAAAAAAUUAGUGAAACCAAACUGUGGCUCUUUGGAAAGGUCAAUACAAUUGAUCAAUCUCUAGCAAGACUGACAAAAAAAGACAACACAAAUUACACUAUCAGAAAUGAAGAGGAACUUCAUUACAGAACCUGGAAAGGAUAAGACAUAAAAAGGAAAACAAUUCUAUUCCUUCUUCAAUGUUACUAUUCAACCAUGCUGUCCUAAACAGUGAACUGUGUUCCAAAAACUAAGGAAA